rnacentral:rRNA from 1 species
AGCUCCAAUAGCGUAUAUUAAAGUUGUUGCAGUUAAAAAGCUCGUAGUUGGAUUGGUGUUGGUUAUACUUCACAUUGUUUAACUACUUUGUGGAUCAAUUUAACCAAUAUAUUUGGGAUUUGGUCUAGAAUGGCAUUAAGUUGUUGAUUUAGUUCCAGCCCAUCGUUUACUGUGAAAAAAUUAGAGUGUUUAAAGCAGGUUUUGUAACCGUUGAAUACAUUAGCAUGGAAUAAUAAUAUAUGACUCGUAUGGUCUAUUUUGUUGGUUUGCACGUAUGAGUAAUGAUUAAUAGGGACAGUUGGGGGUAUUCAUAUUUGAGCGUCAGAGGUGAAAUUCUUGGAUCGCUGAAAGAUGAACUAAGGCGAAAGCAUUUACCAAGGAUGUUUUCAUUA